GAGGAUUUAGCUCAGUGGUAGAGCACUUGCCUAGCAAGUGCAAGGCCCUGGGUUCAGUCCUCA
rnacentral:tRNA from 1 species